ensembl:lncRNA
CCGCGAUCUCCUCCUUUCGGUCAUCACCCAGCCCUCAUGACCAUAGGUGAGGAUAGGAACGAAGAUCGACCGGUAGAUCGAGAGCUUUGCCUUGCGGCUCAGCUCUCUUUUCGUUACAACGGUGCGGUAAAGCGAACGCAAUACCGCCCCCGCUGCUCCGAUUCUCCGGCCAAUCUCACGCUCCAUAGUACCCUCACUCGCGAACAAGACCCAGAGGUACUUGAACUCCUUCACUUGGGCUAAGGACUCAUUUCCUACCCGGAGUAAGCAAUCCACCGGUUUCCUGCUAAGAGUCAUGGCCUCAGAUUUAGCGGUGCUGAUCCUCAUCCCAGCCGCUUCACACUCGGCCGCCAGCCGAUCCAGUGAGUGCUGAAG